CUAUAGUUUGUUACUAGAGAAGUCUCUCUGAAUGUGUGGCGCACUGGAAACCAUGAGGAGGUACAGCAUAUUCUGCUGAGCAUGAAGCCGGCUGUUAGUGUUGCAAUCCCGUAACUGCCCUUGCCAUUGAUGAUCCCUCUUCUCUUAUGGGCGAAGUGAGAGGGAGAAAACGCGUUCUGGGUGG
ensembl:snoRNA U3 Small nucleolar RNA U3